CCUACGGGAGGCAGCAGUGGGGGAUAUUGGACAAUGGGGGGAACCCUGAUCCAGCGACGCCGCGUGAGUGAAGAAGUAUUUCGGUAUGUAAAGCUCUGUCAGCAGGGAAGAAAGAAAUGACGGUACCUGACCAAGAAGCCCCGGCUAACUACGUGCCAGCAGCCGCGGUAAUACGUAGGGGGCAAGCGUUAUCCGGAAUUACUGGGUGUAAAGGGAGCGUAGACGGUUAAGUAAGUCUGGAGUGAAAGGCCGGGGCCCAACCCCGGGACUGCUCUGGAAACUAUUGAACUUGAGUGCAGGGGAGGGAAGCGGAAGUCCUAGUGUAGCGGUGAAAUGCGUAGAUAUUAGGAGGAACACCAGUGGCGAAGGCGGCUUACUGGACUGUAACUGACGUUGAGGCUCGAAAGCGUGGGGAGCAAACAGGAUUAGAUACCCUGGUAGUC
rnacentral:rRNA from 1 species